CCUACGGGAGGCAGCAGUGGGGAAUAUUGGACAAUGGGGGGAACCCUGAUCCAGCGACGCCGCGUGAGUGAAGAAGUAUUUCGGUAUGUAAAGCUCUAUCAGCAGGGAAGAAAAUGACGGUACCUGACUAAGAAGCCCCGGCUAACUACGUGCCAGCAGCCGCGGUAAUACGUAGGGGGCAAGCGUUAUCCGGAUUUACUGGGUGUAAAGGGAGCGUAGACGGUGCAGCAAGUCUGAUGUGAAAGGUCGGGGCCCAACCCCGGGACUGCAUUGGAAACUGUUGAACUGGAGUAGAAGAGAGGGAAGCGGAAAUCCUAGUGGAGCGGUGAAAUGAGUAGAUAUUAGGGGGAACACCAGGGGCGAAGGCGGCCUAACGGCCUUUAACUGACGUUGAGGCUCGAAAGCGUGGGGAGCAAACAGGAUUAGAUACCCUUGUAGUC
rnacentral:rRNA from 1 species